ensembl:Y_RNA Y_RNA Y RNA
GGCUGGUCUGAUGGUAGUGUAUUAUCAGAACUUAUUAACAUUGGUGUCACUGAGGUUAAUAUACAACCCCCAACUGCUAAAUUUGACUGGCUUAAA